CCAAAAAAGGAAGCUUUAUACCAAACUGGAAACUUUUUCAAAAAAUCAUAAUUAAUUCAUACGAACUCCGAUUUUUGUGUUCCGCAUAGGCACGCGAUCGUAUCGACGAGCUCUACAACUUUCAUGAAGGAAGUUUUCCCAAAUUCGUGAGGUUUUUGCGAAUUCGCCCUUCUUUAUUUCAGCAGAGGUUGCUGGUGCAUUAGAUGGAGGGAAUAAUGAUGAUUACAAAGAGACAAAUGUUGCUGCCGGUAAAACACAUGGGGUUUCUCUGUCUGUGGACUCAAUAAAUUCGUAUAUUGCUUGGGAUUUUUAGCUUGUGCAAGGGAAGAUAAACUUGGUAUCGUUCCUAAAUUUCAUUUAAUUACUCGGUGAAUGUGUUUCUUCUUUCAUAGCCUGAUGAAGUAUUCUUUCAUCUAUGAUGUGAAUGCUCUGGCCUUCUUCAUUUCCUGUAGUUCUCCGUUGUGUAACUCGUGCUAUUUUCUUGUAUGCCUUGUUUGUUUGGAAUGAGAUUGGUAAUGAGUCCAAUAAAAGUUAUUGAUGAAAUGGCAAAUUUUAAACUGUAUGAAGAUUGUGUGAGGAUGUUGGGUUGGAAUAUUCACUUUCUAGUCAUUGUUCGACCCAAGGUUGCCAUUAUGAGUACUAUGAGGUUGAAUAUAGCAAAAAAGUGCUCGCUUUUCAGAUUCUCUAGGAAAUUUGGCUGCGUAGUUGUAUAAUGAUAUCCUUGUGAAGAUUAUCUUUUUAUUCAUCUCUUUAUUCUGACAAGAUCACCCGGUUUUGAACAGAUGCCUUUUAGUUAUUUUCUGAGAUAAUAUUUACUUCUGAUAUAACAUUAUGAAUGAUAUAUGUUAUUCGUCUUGUGAAUGACCUUUAGACAUUACCCAAACCCCUAUGUUUGAUAGUACUUUAGUAGUUCUUGAAUGUAUAUUAUCUUUGA